rnacentral:lncRNA from 1 species
AUCCUUUUUCUCUCUCACAUACACAUAUAGGCAUGCAUACAGACAUUCUCAUUCUCUUUCUCUCUCUCCCCCCACCCCUCCCUUUUCUCACACAGACACAUUCUCUUUGUCUCUCACCCUUGCCCCCUCCUCUGUGUCUCUCACACACAUUCUCUCUCCCUCCUUCCCUCUCUCUCACACACAGAUGCAUACAUACACACGUUUUCAUUCUCUUUCCCUUUCUCUCUCUCCCCUCCUCAUCUCUCUUCCUCUCUCUCUCUCACACACUUUCUCUCUCCCUCCUUCUCUCACACACACAUUCUCUCUCUCCCCCUUUUUCUCACUCAUCUCUCUCUCCUCUGUCAUCUCUCCCCCCAACACACACGCAUUUUCUCUCUCUUUCCUUGGCUUCCUCUCUCUUUCACACACACACAUAUACACACACACGUGCAUAAUCUCAUUCUCAUUCUCUCUCUCCUCCUCUCCUUCUUGCUCACACACACACAUACACACACUUACACACUCUUUCAUUCUCUCUCUCCCUCUACCCUUCCCAUCUCUCCUUCUCUCUUUCUUCCUCACACAUUCUCUCUCGCCCCUCCUCUUUCACACUCACAUUCUCUCUCUCACUUUCUCUCCCUCCCUCUUUCCUCACUCCCUCUUUCACACACACACAUAAUCUCACUCUCAUUCUUUCUCCCCCUCCUUCUCAGUCACACACAUGCACACAGAUACAUACACACAUUCUCACUCUCUCUCUCUCCGCCUUCCCCAACUUUCUUCCUCUCUCUCUCACAAACACACAUCUCCUUUCCGUCUCCCUCCUUCUCUUCCCGUCUCUCUCUGCCUCUCUGUCACACACACAUACACACUUUCUCAUUAUUUCUCUCUCUCACACACACAGAUACAUACAUUCUCAUUCUCUUUCUCUCACACACACACAUUCUCUUUCACACACAAACACACACACACAUUCUCUUUCUCCCUCUCCUUCUCUCUUCCUUCCUCUCAUGCUGGGGGAAUCAAGAUGGCUAUAUUGUGAGCUGCCCUAUAGAGAGGCCCAUGUGGCAUGGCACACCCAAGGAACUGAGACACUCAGUCCAGCCUUUCACAAGAAGCUGCAGCCUCACCAACACCAGGUGAGUGAGCUUAGAAAUGGGUCAUCCAGAUCCAGGCGAGUCCUGAUGACUGCAGCCCCAGCCAACAGCUUGACUAUAAUCUGAUGAGAGGCCUUGAGUGAGGAACACCCAGCCAAACACCUCUCAGACUCCUGAUCCACAGAAACAAUGAGGUAAUAAACAUUCGUUGCUUAAAGCUGUUAAUUUAGGGGUAAUUUGUCACAUAGUAAAUUAUAACCAGAACACCUUGCCAGCCCUUAAUUAUUUAUCAUUUAUUUAUAUUUUUGCUAAUCUAAUGUGAGUACUACCAAUGUUGACAUCUGUAUUUGUGUCAGUAUGUGUGUGUAAAUUGCUUCAAAUCCUUUGCUUAUUUUUCUAUUAACCUGUCUAUCCUUUCUUGUUGUUUUGUAGGAUUCUAAUGUAUUUAAGAUUAAUGCUUUAUUUUUCAUACAUGGUGCAAAUAUUUUUUUCCAUCUGUUUAACCAAACAUAAUUUAUAAUUCAUGUGCAGUUGAGUUUGCUGAUUAUGUCUCUUGUCAUGUUUAGAUUUGUAUUAUUAUUAGAAAAGCAUUACAGUUCCAAGAUACGUAAUAUUUUCAUGUAUUUUCUUCCAAAAUUUCAGAGACUUGUUCAGUAUUUAGCUUCUUAACCUGCCCAUAGUACAUUAUUUCUAGUGAGGUUAUACAGAGAGCUAAAUAAAACUUUCCAGAUUGAUAAUCAGUUGUCAAAAUAUCAAUGUGAUAUAGUCCAUCCAUUUUUAUAAGUUGAAUCAUUAUAAAAACAUGAAUAUUUCUGAACUCUAUAUUAUGUACCAUCAAUUUUCUUACUGUUUCCUGCAAUAACCACACUGUUUAAAUUGCUAUAAUUCUGUAAUAUGUUUUGAUAAUUGGUGGGAUUAGUUUCUCACUGGUCUUCCUUUCAAAUGUUGUCUUAGUGUUUUGCGAAUAUUUUUUCCAUAAUGAAUUUAAAGUAAUCCUAUACAUUCCUUAGAAAUUAUAUUUAGAGUUUAAUUUUCAGAUAAAUUUUAACAUAUAGAAUAAUUUUGGGGAGAGUUUACCUCUUUCAAAUACUGAAUACUUCUUAACCAAGAACAUAGUAUAACUUUUUCUUUUUUUCAGGGCCUGUGUUAUGACCUUCAAUAGACUUCUAUAUUCUAAAUAGGUUUUACAAGUUUUCUUGUCAGGCCUAACCAUAAGUAUUUAAUGAGUUUUGUGGCUGUUCUAAAUGGACUCAUUUUUCUAUUACAUUUUAAAUUCAUCAUUGCUGGUGUAUAAGAAAGCUAUUAAUUUUUUAAUAUUGAUUUAUUUUAAUCUGGCUACUUUCCUGGACUCUUACUAGUUCUUACAGUUUUUUAUUGAUUCUUGCUGAUUUUUUUCUUUUGGUGGACAAUAACUUUAUCUUUGUCAUGUGUGUAUAUAUAUGUGCUUGUAUAUGUGUCUAUAUAUAUAUGUGUGUAUGUGUAUAUACACACACAUACACACAUUUUGCUUUUAUUUUAUUGCAUGGAAUAGCAUCUUCAGCAAACAUCAAUAUUGACGUGGUAGCUGGGAACCUUUUCUUAUUUCUGAUUUACUGCAGAUUAUCUUCGUAUUAGCUUUCCUGCUACCACUAUAACAUAUUACCACAAACUUUGUAACUUAACCCACCACAACUGUAUUUCCUUACAGUUCUGGAGGUCUGAAUUCAGAAUGUGAUGUACAGGGCUAUAAUCAAAGUGUCUGCAGGGCUGGUUCCUUCUGAGGGGAACAUGCUCUCCCUUCUGCAAGGGAGGAUCUGUUCCUUGUCUCUAUCAGCUGCUAUAAGCCACCUGCAUUCCUUGGGUCAACGCUUCUUCUUCAUAACGCUCCAACCUCUUGCUUGCUUCCAUCAUCACAUUGCCUUCACCUCUGUCUAAAUUCCUAUCACCCAGAUAAUUCAGAAUAAUCUCUCAGUCUCAAGGUUCUUAACUUAAUCACAUCUGCAAACCCUCUUUUAACACGUAAAGUAACACAUUCACAAGUUCCGGGAAUUAAGACAUUUUUGCGGGGAGGGGACAUUGUUAAACCUACCACGCUUAAAAUAUUUCACUAUUAUUUAUGAAGUUUUCUUAAGGCUUCUGGUAGAUUUUUUUAAGUCACUUUCAAGAGUAUAUUUCUAUAACUCGCUUACUAAGAGCUUCUUUCUUCUGAGUCAGUAACAAAUAUUGUAAUGAAUCAAAUCAUUUAUUCAUCCAUAUUGAGAUGUUUAUUCACUGUUCUCUUUUGUUAAUGUACUAAUUAAAUUAAUGCACAUGUUUCAUAAUUUGAAAUACUUUUGCACUCCCAGUAUACACCUUUUGGGCAUAAUGUAUUAAUAUUAGUCUGCUAACACAUUCCUGAAAUUAAUUUGUGAAUAGUUCAUUUAUAAUUUUCAUAUCUGUAUUCACAAGUUUUCUUUUCUGUGCUUUUUUUGUUAAAUCUUGAUAUCAGUGUUAUAUUACUCCCAUAAAAUUAUUUUAAAAAAAUUCUAUUUCUUUAUGUCAGUCGAAAAACAUUACAUAACAAAGAAGUUAUCUCUAUAAAGGUACAGUUAGCCUCACCCAUAAAACAUCCUGCACCUGAUUUCCCUUUAUCGUGGGCAAUAAGCUCUCAAUAUUUCCCCUGACAUUAUCAAUAUUUCUGCUAUUCCUUAGGUGAACUUUUGUCAUUUGUGUCACUAGCAAAUAAUUCUUACUAAGAUGCUUAAUUUAUAACAUAAACCGUACUUAUGUUUGAUAUGGUUUGGCUCUGUGUCAUCACCCAAAUCUCAUGUUGAAUUUAAUUCCCAGUGUUGGGGGAAGGACCUGGUGGGAGGUGGUGGUUACAUCACGGGAGCAGAUUUCCCCCUUGCUGUUCUCGUGAUAGUGGGUUCUCAUGAGAUCUGAUUGUUUAGAAGUGUGUAGCUCUUUCCCCUUUGCUCUCUCUCUCCUGUUUCAGCAUGGUAAGAUGUGCCUGUGUCUCCUUUGCCGUCCACCAUGAUUGUAACUUUCCUGAGGCCUCCCCAGCCAUGCUUCCUGUACAGCCUGCAGAACUGAUGGAACACCAGGCUAUAGUUUCAGGAAGCCAGACUUGACCCAGACUUGACCUUGCAAAAAAUAGCAACCCCUUCAGAACUGGUAAAGCAAUGAGAAAGAAUUGCUCAGAACUUCAUGGAGCUGAGCCAUUCACCCAUCCUGGAACAUCCACCUUCCUCUGGAAUUAUUUUUUUAAUGUUUUCUUCCUUCUUGUUUAAUCCACUAAUUCUCUCUCUUUUCCUCUGUUUCUCUCUCUCUCAUCUCUGUUCCUUUCCAUAGCAACAUAGACUAUAUAUGAGUAAAUAUUUGAAUAUAUUUAAUAAUAAAAGUACAUACACAAAUAUUUACAGAACUGCUCAAUCAGAAAAAAUACACUUAAUAAAUAAUUGUUCACCAAUGGCCUUGAUGUGCUGUAAUUUGUAUUUCCACCAAAUGAGUCCCAGUUACCUUUUAUGUGUAUUUUCCAUGCUUGUUCACCUAUUUGACUUUAUACUAAAAUUAUAUUAAAUUUCUCUCUAAUGUUUU